AACGAACGCUGGCGGCAUGCCUAACACAUGCAAGUCGAACGAGACCUUCGGGUCUAGUGGCGCACGGGUGCGUAACGCGUGGGAAUCUGCCCUUAGGUACGGAAUAACUCAGGGAAACUUGAGCUAAUACCGUAUAAUGACUCCGGUCCAAAGAUUUAUCGCCUAAGGAUGAGCCCGCGUCGGAUUAGCUAGUUGGUGAGGUAAAAGCUCACCAAGGCGACGAUCCGUAGCUGGCUGAGAGGAUGAUCAGCCACACUGGGACUGAGACACGGCCCAGACUCCUACGGGAGGCAGCAGUGGGGAAGUAUUGGACAAUGGGCGAAAGACCUGAUCCAGCAAUAGCCGCGUGAGUGAUGAAGGCCUUAGGG
rnacentral:rRNA from 1 species